rnacentral:rRNA from 1 species
GACGUAGGGGGCGAGCGUUGUCCGGAAUCAUUGGGCGUAAAGAGCGCGUAGGCGGCCCGGAAAGUCGGAUGUGAAAACCUGAGGCUCAACCUCAGGCGUGCAUCCGAUACUCCCGGGCUCGAGGCAGGUAGGGGAGAUCGGAAUUCCUGGUGUAGCGGUGAAAUGCGCAGAUAUCAGGAGGAACACCGGUGGCGAAGGCGGAUCUCUGGGCCUGUCCUGACGCUGAGGCGCGAAAGCUAGGGGAGCGAACAGG